rnacentral:rRNA from 1 species
GUGUCACCUUAAAACUGCCCCAUCUCAUCUGAUCUCAGAAGCUAAGGAGGUUAGUCCUGGUUAGUAUUUGGAUGAGAAGCACCAGGUAAACU